CUUAUUUUAAUUUUUAUUAUUAUUAAUGUUUUUGAUUUUCAAAACACACGCCUAAUUUCCAACAUUCAUCCUUGCAAAAUCUUGUGUUCCAUCUUUUUCUCCCCUCUUUCCCCUACCCCCUUCCCUAGAUGGCAAGUAAUCCAUUAUAGGUUAAACAUGUGCAAUUCUUCUAAACAUAUUUCCACAAAUAUCAUGCUGUACAAGAACAAUCAGAUCAAAAAAGGAAAAAAAUGAGAAUGAAAACAAAAUGCAAGCAAACAACAAAAAAAGUGCAAAUACUAUGUUUUGAUCCACACUCAGUCCCCACAGUUCUCUCUCUGGAUACAGAUGGUUCUCUCCAUCACAAGACCAUUGGAACUGGCCUGAAUCAUCUCAAUGUUGAAAAGAGUCACAUGCGUCAGAAUUGAUCAUAUAAUCUUAUUCCCAUGUAUAGUGAUUUCCUGGUUCUACUCACUUCACUUAGCACCACUUCAUGUAAGUCUCUCCAGGUCUCUCUGAGACCAUUCUGCUGUUCGUUUCUUACAGAAUAAUAAUGGAAUAUAUGCUUCUUGAGAGUAUUGUUUUUUCUUUCUUUGUGUCCCCAGGACUUACACAGAGUACUUGCAUAUAGUAAAUGUUUAAAUGAUUUCUGACUUUUGUCACUUUAGUGAAAUAGCUUAACCUUCCUGAUCUUCAGUUUUCUUGAUUAUUUCAAUGUUAGACUGGUUGUCAUCCGAGGAAAGGUCCAAGAUUUAUUCUGCACAGUGAAUUGCCAAGCUCCAAAAGCUCCAGACACUCCUUACCCCCUGGCUCAAACAGCGCUACUUCUGACUGGGGAAGAGGAUUCCAAAGCGGUAUGAACACAGAAUAGGCUUAAGAAUAUGAACCAACAAAAGAUAAUUAAGCUUCAGGGGUGAAGAAGAGAAUACUCUGGAUAAGCCUUUACUCUAAAAUAAUUCUAUUACUUUCAAGUAUCACACAUUUCCAGGGGAAGGUAAUCAAUACAUCACUCUUUAUCUAACCCUUUUCUUCGUUUUUCUUGGCUCUUUCUAGUGAGGGUCCUGAAGAGGAAAUCGGAACGAAAUAAAUCAAGAAAUAACAAACUAUGCUUUUAGGAUUAAUCUUUUACACUUCUCUUUCAUGCUUCUCCGAGGGCUGAGUUGGAUAGAGGAACGUAAGGAUUUCAAGAGAUGUAGGUUUAAAUAUGGACAAUUAUCAGACGGAGGAAGGCAGAGGAUUUCCAGCCUGAGCUCAGCAUACGCUUCAAACGCAGUAGAAAACCUAGCAAACGCUUUUGGACUUGACUUGGAUCCAAAUACCCGGGUAAGUGAUUUAACCUCCCCAGGCCUUGAUAUCUUCAGUUACAAAAUUAAGAGGGAAUGGACGAGAUGCUUUUUGAGGCCCUUCAGGCGCUAAAUCCCCGGAUCACGCCCCUUUGUGGCGCUGCAAGUCCUGCGGGCGGUGGGACCCAUUAAAUUUACAGGCCUGGAUCCGAGCCCAGUUUGUGGGAGAAGAAAAACAGGGGGCGUCGGUGUGGAAGAAACCCUAGACUCAGCAGGUGCCAGAAGGUGAAACAGCGAAAGGAGACAAGGACCAAGAAACUUGUCCCGUAAACGUCACGGCUUUGUUCCUCUCCCUCUCCUCCGUCUUCCCCCUUUUCUUUGGUAAGAAAAAAAGGGGAGCUGCUGUUUAGGUUGCAUGUGGUAGCAAACCUCUCCCGACUACGGGCCUCAUUGUUUUGCUUGGCGCGUCUUUGGGGUCCUUGUUCUGGUAAAGGUGACAAUGAUGGAAUCUGCGCUGCGGCCAUCUCCCCCCGCCUGGGCACGAGCUGGUAGGGAGACUGGUUUACAUCGCCCGGGUCGGAGGCGCAGUUACGGAGGAGGGGAGGGAUCAGAUCCGAUCUGGGGGUCAGUGAAGAGGCGGCUUUCGCUCCCAUAGUCACACCGGCCGCCGCAAGGUAGAGCGCAGAGCAAGCGAGUGACACUCGGCUACGGCGAGCUCCGGGUACCAGCCAUGCCGGCGGCUGCCUCGCAG
rnacentral:lncRNA from 1 species